UUACCAUCAGACUCUAUGUAUCAGUAUCACACAGCGUUGGCAUCAUAAGAAAUAUGAAUUAAUUCGUCUGUGUGAAACAUUUCCACCACAAAAAUGCCAGCACCCUUAUAGUCACAAUGAUGAGGGAAACAACAGCGCUUGUCUUAUUGGUCCUGAGUAUGUGGGUCGUACCAACGUCUGCCACUUUGUGGGGAGGCGCAUCCCUCAAGGGUGGGACUCAGGGAUGUCAGUGCCUCCCCCCAUACACAGGCCUGAUACAUCCAAGAUGUGAGGGGACUGAGUGAGUGACGGGCUGGGGAUUGUGUCCUGCUGCCCCUGUAACUCCCUCCCCUGUGUCCCUGGCAUUGUCCCUCCCCUGCACUCACAUCUCCAGCCUGGGCUACUGGACAGGACAUUCCUUCUGAUGGAUCUCAGGCACUUCUGAUACACAGUGAGUGUGGGACCCUCCUAUCUGCGCACAGGCCCCGCCCAUUCCCAACAUGGAGUCACACUUGUCCCGUUCUCCAGAGAUGGAACCAAGGAGGUUAGAGGGGAAAU